AAGCUCGACGACGAGGAGUUGUCAUCGUACAUCUUGGCCAGGUUGGAUCUCGACUUCAACCCAAUUGUCUCCGCCAUCACCGCAAGGAGUGAACCCCUGACCUUGGGGGAACUCUACACCCAGCUCGUCGGCUUCGAGC